GUGUGUCGCUUCGACAGAACAUAUACUAAAAUUGGAAUGAUACAGACAAGAUUAGUAUGGCCCCUGUGCAAGGAUGACACGUACAUUCCUGAUGCAUUCCAAAUUUAU